GUUGAACGCUGGCGGCAUGCCUUACACAUGCAAGUCGAACGGCAGCACGGGGCAACCCUGGUGGCGAGUGGCGAACGGGUGAGUAAUGCAUCGGAACGUGCCCCGUAGCGGGGAUAACCAGUCGAAAGACUGGCUAAUACCGCAUACGCUCCACAGAGGAAAGCAGGGAUCGCAAGACCUUGCACUAUGGGAGCGGCCGAUGCCCGAUUAGCUAGUUGGUGAGGUAAAGGCUCACCAAGGCGACGAUCGGUAGCUGGUUUGAGAGAACGACCAGCCACACUGGGACUGAGACACGGCCCAGACUCCUACGGGAGGCAGCAGUGGGGAAUUUUGGACAAUGGGCGCAAGCCUGAUCCAGCCAUGCCGCGUGCGGGAUGAAGGCC
rnacentral:rRNA from 1 species